rnacentral:misc_RNA from 1 species
CCAGGUUCAACCAUGGCUAAAUGCAGCCAAGAAGCGGGGCAUUUCCUUGCUGAGAUGUUCACCCUCCGCUCCGAAGGUUCGAGUGCGAAUGAAUGCAGGGAGCUCCACGUGGUCCCCUGCGCACGGAGUUGAGCCCUGAGCGAGUGAAGACAUCUCACGUGACCCAUACUGGUUGCUUCAUCAUCACCCGAAGACAGCAUGCUACUCGGGCAUCUUCAAAUUCACUUCGUUGCUUCCUUGCUUGCGGCUGGAGCUGUGUGCUUGGUCUCAGCGCGGAGGAACCUGUAUGAAAAGACUCCCGACACGUGCCGCAUGGAAACCCAGCAUUACCUGGAGCCGCACGUAUUCAGCAGGCUGACGUCUGCGCGUUGCUACAAGUACAUGCCAAGCCUGGCCUUCAAAAACGCCUCCAGGCUCACAUAUUGUGGCAAAGGUUCCCUCUGUCGGGGUGAUUGCGAAGGCGAGUGCUUCCAGCCCUACGGCAACGACAGCGAUGUUCAAGUCCUGGAGUCCUUCAAGAAAGGUCUCUAUGCUGACCGAUGGAAGAGCUGCUGUUUGGCGGCGCGCGAGUGCUGCCAGGAGAUGCUCGCCAACAACCAGGCCGGACAGAGCGCGGAAAAAGAUGGACUUCACUGUCCUGCAACGUGGGAUGGCUGGACGUGCUACAAGGACACUCCCGCGGGGACCACUGUACAGAAGCCGUGUCCUGCGCAUGCGUACUUCAUCACGGAGACGCCACAGUGCAUCAAAAUGUCGAAGAAAACCUGCUGGGAGAAUGGCACAUGGUUCUACAGUCAGGAGUACGAGAAGGAGUACACGUUCUACGACUGUGGCUCACUGGAGUACCACCGCUCCAUGACCAUCUUCUCAAUCGUUCUACACUCACUGUCCGUCAUCGUGCUGGUGCCCGCGAUAGCCAUCUUCUCUAUCUACAAGCAACUGCAAGUUCACCGCAUCUCCCUGCACAAGAACUUCUGCGUCGCCAUGGUGCUGUACGACAUUAGCGUCAUACUUGUGGACGCCGUUUUCAUACUGGACCACGUCAGCGAGGAGAAAAACAUACGAGUCAACGAGAACCCGAACCUGUGCAAGGUGUUGUACACCCUUUCACGAUAUUUCCGGUUGUGCCAGUACGCAUGGAUGUUCUGCGAAGGCUUCUACCUGCACAAGCUGAUCGCAUCCGCAUUCGCCGAGCAGAAGUCGCUGCUAGUCUUCUACGUCAUCGGCUGGGGUUGCCCCGCUAUUUUCGUCACCAUCAGCGCCGUCCUUCGAGCCGUGCGAAUCGGACACCCAGAGGACUCUAGUUGCUGGAUGGACAACGUAGAAGGAUACAACUGGAUCACGCUGGCCCCGGGUCUCUUCUGCCUCUUUGCAAACUUCGUAUUUCUGUGCAACAUCAUCCGCGUCCUCGUCACCAAGCUUAGGAGCACCCAUGCAAACGAGCCUAGCCAGUUUCGGAAAGCCGUACGCGCCGUGCUGGUGUUGUUCCCUCUAUUCGGCAUGCACUUUCUGAUGACGGUGUACCGAAGUCCAGCCAACUGCGGAGCUUGGGAGAUCUACCAGUACAUCAGCAAAGCAUCCGAUGGUCUGCAGGGAUUCUUCGUAGCUGUGAUAUUCUGCUAUCUCAACGGAGAGAUUCAGGGCCAAAUCACGCGGUCCAUCGAGCUCGUGAAAUUGGAGUCUUCACUGGCCAGGGCGAGCGACCGGCGGCGUUCGACGCGCACCCAGGUCCUAGCUUGCUGAGUCGGGGGCCUCAGCGUUGCUUGCCCUCCUCGCCGACAGGACGUCGCUGCUGCCGGCGAAACGUGCACGGCGUUGUCCCUGUCUCUCGGCCGAGCCCCGUGCUAUACCUGUUGAGGCGCUCGUACGGCCGCUACCGGCUACAGCGAGGGUUCUCAAGCAGGAGGGGCAACAGUCUGGCCAUGACGCGCAUGUCGGUGUCCACGCACGUCACCUCAGUCGGCGACUCGCUCAACCCCA